CGGGACACGUGGUAUCCUGUCUGAAUAUGGGGGGACCAUCCUCCAAGGCUAAAUACUCCUGACUGACCGAUAGUGAACCAGUACCGUGAGGGAAAGGCGAAAAGAACCCCGGCGAGGGGAGUGAAAAAGAACCUGAAACCGUGUACGUACAAGCAGUGGGAGCACGCUUAGGCGUGUGACUGCGUACCUUUUGUAUAAUGGGUCAGCGACUUAUAUUCUGUAGCAAGGUUAACCGAAUAGGGGAGCCGAAGGGAAACCGAGUCUUAACUGGGCGUUAAGUUGCAGGGUAUAGACCCGAAACCCGGUGAUCUAGCCAUGGGCAGGUUGAAGGUUGGGUAACACUAACUGGAGGACCGAACCGACUAAUGUUGAAAAAUUAGCGGAUGACUUGUGGCUGGGGGUGAAAGGCCAAUCAAACCGGGAGAUAGCUGGUUCUCCCCGAAAGCUAUUUAGGUAGCGCCUCGUGAAUUCAUCUCCGGGGGUAGAGCACUGUUUCGGCAAGGGGGUCAUCCCGACUUACCAACCCGAUGCAAACUGCGAAUACCGGAGAAUGUUAUCACGGGAGACACACGGCGGGUGCUAACGUCCGUCGUGAAGAGGGAAACAACCCAGACCGCCAGCUAAGGUCCCAAAGUCAUGGUUAAGUGGGAAACGAUGUGGGAAGGCCCAGACAGCCAGGAUGUUGGCUUAGAAGCAGCCAUCAUUUAAAGAAAGCGUAAUAGCUCACUGGUCGAGUCGGCCUGCGCGGAAGAUGUAACGGGGCUAAACCAUGCACCGAAGCUGCGGCAGCGACGCUGAUGCGUUGUUGGGUAGGGGAGCGUUCUGUAAGCCUGUGAAGGUGUGCUGUGAGGCAUGCUGGAGGUAUCAGAAGUGCGAAUGCUGACAUAAGUAACGAUAAAGCGGGUGAAAAGCCCGCUCGCCGGAAGACCAAGGGUUCCUGUCCAACGUUAAUCGGGGCAGGGUGAGUCGACCCCUAAGGCGAGGCCGAAAGGCGUAGUCGAUGGGAAACAGGUUAAUAUUCCUGUACUUGGUGUUACUGCGAAGGGGGGACGGAGAAGGCUAUGUUGGCCGGGCGACGGUUGUCCCGGUUUAAGCGUGUAGGCUGGUUUUCCAGGCAAAUCCGGAAAAUCAAGGCUGAGGCGUGAUGACGAGGCACUACGGUGCUGAAGCAACAAAUGCCCUGCUUCCAGGAAAAGCCUCUAAGCAUCAGGUAACAUCAAAUCGUACCCCAAACCGACACAGGUGGUCAGGUAGAGAAUACCAAGGCGCUUGAGAGAACUCGGGUGAAGGAACUAGGCAAAAUGGUGCCGUAACUUCGGGAGAAGGCACGCUGAUAUGUAGGUGAA
rnacentral:rRNA from 1 species